ACUGGCCCAAACCGGAAACUGCUCUUUUGACUGCUCUAGAACAUAGAUGCAUCCUGGGAGUUGUGGUUCCGGCCAGGAACUCAACGAAAACAGUACUGAGCACCAAGGGACCAAAAGAGUGCUCCAUGGGCGCGCACACAAAUCCCCUUCGUUUAUUUUUUCUCCCACCAAGAGCGGAAGCAGUUUAGAUCAGAAGAGUCAGGGGCCCGCCCCAGCUUGGGGACGCUUUUUCCGGUCUCUAUGGAUACGGGCUACACACCUUGGGCGGAAGCCAAAAUUUAGGGAUUUAGGCUGGAUCGUGUUUCUGCCAACCGCCAAUAUAUUGUUAGGCGUCGUCUGUGAAAGCUUCCGAAAUAAAUCCGAAAGCAUUAGCCAAGUCUUGUGCAAAACAGUAGCGUUUGCCUUUUAUUGCCUUGUUAAGGAGAGUGUAGUUUUUCAUCUUCUGCAGCACCAGGACAAGAGUUCCUUCUACCCCUACACCCCAUACUAGUCACCAGUGACACAACAGUGCCCUGUGGCACAGCUAGUCUGAUGUAGUCAUCUCUACAAUUAUCAGAUGCUGUUGACAAGGAGAACGCAUCACUGGGAGAGCUCAGAGGCCAUUGGGACUGCUCUUGGAGAGAAGACAAGCAAACAACUCAUGGACAUACAGCAUGGAAACUGAUCUGAAGAAUGCCUGGGGCACGCAGGAGUGAGGUU